ACGAGAAUAGCUUGCUAUUCGGCGUCGAGCGGCGGACGGGUGAGUAAUGCCUGGGAAAUUGCCCUGAUGUGGGGGAUAACCAUUGGAAACGAUGGCUAAUACCGCAUAAUGCCUUCGGGCCAAAGAGGGGGACCUUCGGGCCUCUCGCGUCAGGAUAUGCCCAGGUGGGAUUAGCUAGUUGGUGAGGUAAAGGCUCACCAAGGCGACGAUCCCUAGCUGGUCUGAGAGGAUGAUCAGCCACACUGGAACUGAGACACGGUCCAGACUCCUACGGGAGGCAGCAGUGGGGAAUAUUGCACAAUGGGCGCAAGCCUGAUGCAGCCAUGCCGCGUGUAUGAAGAAGGCCUUCGGGUUGUAAAGUACUUUCAGCAGUGAGGAAGGGUGUGAAGUUAAUAGCUUCAUAUCUUGACGUUAGCUGCAGAAGAAGCACCGGCUAACUCCGUGCCAGCAGCCGCGGUAAUACGGAGGGUGCGAGCGUUAAUCGGAAUUACUGGGCGUAAAGCGCAUGCAGGUGGUUUGUUAAGUCAGAUGUGAAAGCCCGGGGCUCAACCUCGGAACCGCAUUUGAAACUGGCAGGCUAGAGUACUGUAGAGGGGGGUAGAAUUUCAGGUGUAGCGGUGAAAUGCGUAGAGAUCUGAAG
rnacentral:rRNA from 1 species